AGACCAAAUAUAAAUAACACCCUCGUUUCCACAGAAAUUAGACAGCAGGCAUAGCCUAUUUUAGCUUGCCAUUCUCAAGUUCUUGCAGUUAAUAUCAUUAAAAUCUCUGAAAAGAGUAUUUAAUGAAUAUAUUUACAUCUGUAUCUGUAUGGGUACGUCGAAGGUAGCAAUUCUGGCUGCUUUUCUACGACGGUGAGAGAGCUAGUGUCGGUCUUCUUGACACAGGCUGUCGAGGGCGGUCUUGAAUGCCUCGACAGUUUUAGCCCCCACUGUAUGGUCUUUCCUUUCGAUGUUAUUCCUCCAGCUCCAUUUCCUUUGGAUGUUAUUCCUCCAGCUCCAUUUCCUUUCGAUGUUAUUCCUCCAGCUCCUUCUUUAUUGGCUCAACAUAUCAACAAGUAAUGGUUAUGUGUAAAACAAAUAACAAUGAUAGUAAUGACAUGGCAAUAGUGUUACAUACUUAUGAUAAUAGUGACAUUGUGUAUAUACGUGUGUCUGUAAAUGACAAUUAUGGCGGAUAACACACACACAAACACACACACAAUAAUAUAUAUACGAAUAUAUUAACACAUAACCAAGUUACAGUUCUUGUUCAUAAUUAACACCAUAAGAAUACACAUGCGUGUACAAACAUGGCCAAACUUACAUGUGAACUUUGUCAUUACAUUCUCAAUGGUAAACAAGUUUACGAUAAUGUUAACAGUGUAAAAGUAGUUUUUGUCGGUUAGCAUUUUAGGAAUUCUCUACGGUUAAGACAAUUAAAGAUGAAUGACUGGCUCGUAUCUACGUAUAUGCUGUACAAUGUAAUAAAUAAUGUUCUUCGUCUUCAAUGAAUUUGGGUUUGCAGGCAUUACAAAAACAAUUGCAUCUUGGGAUGUUUGAAUAUCUUCUUUUUUCUAUAGCGAGCUCGUGAGCAAUUAUUCUAAUUUUGCAGAUCAUUGACCUAUCAAAUCUAUUUGUUAAUUUAUCAACAUAGUCUGGUCGUUUAUUCAUGUUAUGUAGUUUACUGAAAAGUGUUAACUUGUCAGAGUUGUGGAUAUUUGCAUUUUGCAUUUGCAAACAUUUAAAUAGAGUGGAUAGAAGGUUUUACAUCACCAUCUUUUUAAUGAAAGAAAAUCCUAAACUAUGUAAAUUUACAGUAAGGUUUUUUACCCAUGGAUUUGAUAUUUUAACUGUUUGAUAUAUUCUAUUAACUAAAGAUUCAUCCUGAGUUUGAAUGUGAUCUAAGAGUUUCACACAAGACUGUAAGAUUACAUUUGUUAAAGGUAAACGAUUGAGCUCUGAUCGGCAUGCAUCAUUAGAAACUUUACAAUGAAAUCCUAAAAUUUCUUUUAUAAAUUUGAAAUGAAAAUUUUCAUCAGAUUCCGAUUCUUUAUAAUUCAUUCUUAAAAGUCCCCAAUUUCAAUUCUAUAGAGUAAAAUGGGAACAACCAAUGGUAUCAAAAAGUUUUUCAAGAAGUUUACAUGGAUUAUUGAGGCCAAUUACUCUUUUAAUCUUAAAGAGGGCUUUUGUUGUUUUGUCAGCAAGAGAUAGCAAUAUCAAAAUUUCCAUUGAACUUCAUAGUAAUUCCAAGAUACAUGUUUUGUUUAACAGUUUCCAAUUACAUGUAUGUGUCCGAAAAAUGAAAUUUAUUUUGAUAAGAACCGGAACAUGUAAAUACAGUGUCAUAUAUUGUUCAAAAUAAAUUUUCCAGUUAUAUUUACAAUAGAUGGCUCUUCAGAAAAUAACAUGUAAAUGAAUUUUUGUUCACCAUUAAGUGUAGUAAAACAUUUUACUGUUUUUUCUAUAACAUCACAAAAAGAUUUUCUUUCAUCAACAAACUUUUCACAUUUAAUCAAAAAAUGAAUCUCAUCACCCAAUGAAGUUGCAUUUGUUACAGAUUCGUUCAUUCCUAGUAAUACCAGAAUAUCUACCAACUUCAAUCAUUAAUCCGACUUAACUCACUAUGAGUUAAGUCCUGUUAUUGAAAUGAACAGAACAAGUAUUUGUUGUUCAGGCAAAGAAACAUAACUCUUGCAAUCAAUUGAAUUGCACGGUUUUGACACUAUCCCCCCAAAUACCUAUUAUGACACUUUCCCUCUUUCUAAUCCCUGGGUAUAUAUAGUGCGCAAGCGCUAAUUGCCGGUCCUUUUUGAGUUGCAUGUCAACGAAAAUCCAAAUUGAACAGAUCUGGAAUUUCAAUUCAACACCAUCACCCCGUCCUCGACUGAUUCACCAUGUAUUUGGGUAUAGUAAAAACAUAUCUAAACUGCGGUACGUAUUUACGUUCAAUUAAUUUUGAUUAAUUUGACAGCUUAACGUUUUUCUUCAUGGGUUUUACCACAGGGGCUCAGUUGUCAGAUAUUGAAGUUUUGUAUUAUUUGUUCCCGAAUAAUAAAUUAUAUAAAUAAAAUCCACCACCAAAAUCCGCUUUUUUAGAGGUUUUUAAAAAAAAAAAGGUGUAUCAUGUGUACUUUAAAAAAAAGUAAAGGGACGACACUCGCCAUCUUGGAUUUCUAGGGGGCCCUCGAUUCACGGCUUGUUUUUAACAAUUUCUACUCUCUGCCUACCGGUUUCUGGCGAGAUCUAUGUUGGAAAAAGAUCCAACGACUUCUCCCUAUCGUCUGCUUAUGUCUACAUGCCGUAUUAAAGAUCCAGUGACCCGAAACAUCCUCGAUACCUGUCCCUACUUAUCGAAAGCAACGGAAGUUUGCAUCGAGUGACACGACGCCUACCGGAGCUCUCCAUAUAAUCACUGGGGUGUUCCGAAUAGGGUCUGUAAGUCUCGUCAUGUGAUUGCCGAGAUUUAGCGAGAUUAUUAACUUCCGGGUACAUCAACAUCUCAGACUGCACUGUGUAGAGAGUGGUAUACAUAGAUAUAGCGUUAUCAAUCGAUUAUGUGGAGGUUUUAACGAGAUAAACAUGGGAAUUGAAGCAUUAGUGGAGUGGUCGAGGAUUCUUCGCUUCGUGUUUGACGAAUUACGUGUAAUAACCGCCAGUGUACAAGCAUCGACGAGGGUACGUCUUGCAGAUGAAGAGCAGAUAUGCCUUGAAUCUGAGGAUAAAGGUGUUGUUCAUUGUGCAGUCAUCAUUAAUGUGGAUGUCUGAUGCCAGUAUGCCCAUAAUGGGGCAGUAUAAGUGUCGAUCUUCAUAUGACAGCAAAUUUUCAAAGGCAGAUAUAAGAAGGCAAAUAAAACUGUUCAAUGUAAAAUACGCCAGUAGUUGGAUAAAACAUCCAAAGUCGGCACAGUCAAAGUUCACAACAACAAUGGAGGAAUUAACUGCAUCCUCAUUCCGCAGGGCAACAGGCCAUUUUCAGCAACCCCUGAAAUUCUUAAUUGAGGCUAAGUGCCCAUUUUCAGCUCAAACAAUGACAAUUAAAUAGGCCUGUGCAAAUGUUGGGAUUUCCCUCUUGGUAAGUCAGCAUUAUAGAUUGAACAAUUAUGUGUAUGUGUACCUAAUACAUAUACAUUAGCUGUACAUAUAUGUAUUCAUAUAUAUCACUAUGGAUGUAUCCAAGUUUAUUAUAAUUUUAAAGUAACAUUUUAUGAAUGAAAUACAAAUACUACUUAGGCUUCAUUGUGAUAUUGAACUGCUAAUGUUCUUUAUAAACUUUACUUGCAUCAAGUUUUGAAUACUGCAGUACAUCUAUGUCAAAAUAAGUAUGCAUAUUGCAGUAUAAUACUUUCACCACUAAUCAGAGCACUUGUAAAUCAUGUAUAUUUUAUCAAUACAUGUAAUGACAUUUGCCAUUUUAGAAUGUGAUGCAAGGGAUGGUUCGCUGCACCUCAAAACAAAAUUUGAAUAUUGGCAUCAGAUUCAAGGACAACACCACCUGAAAGACACCCAAUGCUGUGAUUUGCUAGUGUGGAUUCCUAGUGACACUCAAAUAAUUCACAUUGACAAAGAUGUAUUAUGGUCAACCUUUUAAGCGUGAUAGAGUUUAAUUAUAAUAAUGAAGUAUUUUUGCUGUCUAAAAUACACACACAUAACCACAUUGAUAGAUGCACCACAUAUACUUUAUUAUGAUAUCAGUGGUACAUCUAUCAAAGUUAUGUAAUUACAUGUAUAUUUAUUGAAUAAACAUUAUAGACAGAGUUUUUCUUAUUUUAGAUGAACCAAAAUACAUAUAUAUAUAGACACAGUGUCCAGCUUUACAAAAAUCAUUCAAUUACAUGCAUUUACUAAAACAAUGGAUUUUACUUCUUUUUUAAUAAUGCAGAUUUGAAAACCUUCAGAAUGA